rnacentral:rRNA from 1 species
GACGAACGCUGGCGGCGUGCUUAACACAUGCAAGUCGAGCGGUAAGGCCCUUCGGGGUACACGAGCGGCGAACGGGUGAGUAACACGUGGGUGAUCUGCCUUGCACUCUGGGAUAAGCCUGGGAAACUGGGUCUAAUACCGGAUAUGACCUUCGGCUUCCUGGUCGAUGGUGGAAAGAUUUAUCGGUGCAAGAUGAGCCCGCGGCCUAUCAGCUUGUUGGUGGGGUAAUGGCCUACCAAGGCGACGACGGGUAGCCGGCCUGAGAGGGCGACCGGCCACACUGGGACUGAGACACGGCCCAGACUCCUACGGGAGGCAGCAGUGGGGAAUAUUGCACAAUGGGCGGAAGCCUGAUGCAGCGACGCCGCGUGAGGGAUGACGGCCUUCGGGUUGUAAACCUCUUUCGACUCCGACGAAGCGAAAGUGACGGUAGGAGUAUAAGAAGCACCGGCCAACUACGUG